UGCGAGCAUGCUCACUGUUUUGUCUACAGCCCAAAAGUAACAGCUCUGAGAAAUAAAACAAACAACCACACAACAAAAAAACCAGCCACGUAAACUAGUGUAUUUAAAUCAACUCAAUUUAAAAGGCAGGCUGUAUACUGUGCCUUAAACCCGAAGUUAACUGUGGCUGAGCCAGAUUGGUGGUGUUGGAUUUCAGCUCCCUGAGAAGCUGUGUAGGUGGCUGGAAGAGUUGGUGAGAAAACAGUGUUACUCUGAAUUUGAAGUCUGUUGAAGUAGAAGAAUGUCAGAAGCCAUUUACAAAGGGCUAUUCAAGGACCACAGACAAGUUCGCUGAGUUGAGAUGAUUUUCUCAGCAUAUUCCUCCUCCCAGGAGACAAAGCUGACAAUCAAUUCCAAACCUUCAGAUUGUAUUCUAACUCAUUGAAUGUUUACAGUCUAAAAGAAGAGACAAGUGAAGUGUACAGGAAAUGUGAAACAAGACCAAAAAAAAGAAGUCAGAGAGAUGCUUAUGAAAAGUUCUGUUGGAGAGGCUUGCAUCCAGCUGUGGGAACUUAGGGGGCUUUCUAGAGGGGUGACAUUUGAAAUCAAUCUGAAAGUCUGGGUAGGACUUUAACAGCAGAAGUCACUAAACUACUGGAAAAAGGAAGAGCAUGAGCACAGGCACGGGAGCGAGGUGUGUCUAGAGACUGUCAACUAAGUUUAUCAGACUGAAAUGUAAUGUACAAAGAGCAAGUAAGAGAGAGGUAUGUCUCGUGAGGCCAAGGUAGACUGGGGACAUAUGAGCUUUAGGAACUUGCAGGUAAUUUGGAAGAAAAUAGGGAGCCGUUAUCCAACCAGAUGGCUUGCUAGCUAGCUAGAUACUGCUUCACAACCAUUGCAUGUGAUCAUAGUCACUUGGGGGGUCUUGGAGAAAAAUAUUGAAUCACCCCAGAUCUAUAGUGAGAAUAUCGGGUGACUUGGAAAUUUAUACUUGAAAACAAAACCAAACAAAACCUCCACAGAUGCUUAAUAUUCUCUAGGUCUGGGAGUCACUUUGUAGAUUAUAGAUUACUGCCCAGGAAGUCUUAUUUUCAUUUAUCAGAAGUCAAUUGAGUACUUAAUAAUUAUCAGACAUUGUGCUAAUUACUGGAAAUGUGGAGAGGAAGCCAACAGACACUGUCACCUAUCUCUUAGUUUACAGCCUAGCAAGGUAACCAACACUAUAUAAAUAAUUAUGUAAAUUGUAACUCUACUGAGUACUGUCAAGAAGUACAGGGUGUCAUAAGAGCAUACAAUGGGGGGACUGCCAACUCUGGUUAGGGGAGACCCCCUUGAGGAGGUGAAAUGUUAACCAAGACCUCAGGGCCUAAGCAGGUGAAAGGUUUGAAAACCAUAUCAGUAAUUCACUGUAAAAUAAUUAAAGACCUGAAAUAGGGACUAGAGUUCAGGAGGAGAUGAAUGUGUUUCUGUUUCUGUUUGCUUGCACAGUGAAACAAAGGGAAAAAAUACUACAAGAAAAAAGCAUGAGAUGUACAGCAAAAAAAUGAAGAAACUGAGCCAACUUAUUGGUGGAACUAUCGCUUUGCCAGGUUUUUAAUGACAAUUGAUGCCAUUGUCUGAGCACUUAAGGCCUGACUUGGCUGUGGUGUUUGGAAUUGAGUCCUCACUAACCUCUUCUUCAGUGUAGUCCUAUUGGAAUGAAGAAUUUAAAGUUUAUACACCAUUCUUGUACAUUCGGGUGUACAAAAAUACAACAAAAAGAAUACAUUGUUUUUCCAUUUUUAGAAAGGGGAAAAAGUACCUAAGAGACCCCUGGGUUCUGAAAUCUCUCCAGGUAUCUUUUCUCUCUUUGGCUUUCCUUGAGUCUUGGCACCUAAGAAAGUGAUAAAUGUCACCAGGGACUUCAAUUCCUUUUCCUUUGCCUGUUAUUUAAGCUUCAGAACUUUCUGAGUUCCUAAUUUCCAUGGAACUAUCGAAAUGUCCCUGUUUAAUCUAUGUUCCACUUGAGAACUUAGAUUUCCCUUUGAAUUAGUUUUCUAAAAGCAUAGCCACUUAGUUUUUUCUGGACUUGGCUUAACGAUUAGCUCUAGUACUUAACAAAAUAAAAACCAUU